CCCUUAGAUGUUCUGGGCCGCACGCGCGCUACACUGAUGCAUUCAACGAGUCUAAAACCUGCUCUGAUAGGGGUGGGUAAUCUUUUGAAUGUGCAUCGUGAUUGGGAUAGAUGAUUGCAAUUUUUCAUCUUCAACGAGGAAUGCCUAGUAAACGCAAGUCAUCAGCUUGCGUUGAUUACGUCCCUGCCCUUUGUACACACCGCCCGUCGCUCCUACCGAUUGAAUGGUCCGGUGAAGCGUUCGGACCGUGGCCUUUGGACGGUUCGCCGUCUGUUGGCUGCGGGAAGUUCGUUAAACCUUAUCAUUUAGAGGAAGGAGAAGUCGUAACA
rnacentral:rRNA from 1 species